GAAGACUUGACUAUCUGCCUGACUCCAUUUGAGAGGAAGAUGUGUGAGUUUUUCACAAGAGUGGAGAUCCGAGGGAAACGUGGGAGAAUGGUCCCUGUCCUGUUAAAACCAUCCAUGGUGACUGCUAUGGAGCUGCUGGCUGACACACGUGAGAGCUGUGGUGUACCCAGUGAAAAUUUAUUCAUGUUUGCCAGACCAGAGGCUUUGUCAUCCUACAGAGGGGGGGGGUGCCUCCAGAAAUAUGCCAAACUCUGUGGUGCUAAACAUCCGGAAGCAUUGACCUCAACAAAGCUGCGGAAACAUAUUGCAACAAUGUCACAGGUCUUGAACCUGGAGGAAAAUGAGUCUGACCAACUCGCUGACUUCUUAGGCCACGAUAUUCGAGUCCACAGACAGUACUACCGACUGCCCCAAGGAACUCUGCAACUAGCUAGAAUGAGCAAAGUUCUUCUUGCUAUGGAGAGGGGGACUGUGUCACAAUACAAAGGGAUGACACUGGAUGACAUUGAAGUCGACCCUGAAGAGAAAGUACCACACUCCAUUGAAGAGGGGGAUGCUUCAAGUGACGCUUCAAGUGAGGAAGAGGAGUGUACCAGCACUGACAUGGACCACACACCUCCCAGCACAGACAGGACUGCAUCUUCCGAACCACCUCCUGCUGCUACUCCUCCAGUACAAGAACAAGCUGAAAAACGGAGACGCAAAUGGGAUGCAGGAGAAGUAAAUGCUGUUGAGAAACACCUGAUGAAAUUCAUAAGAACUUUGACUGUUCCUGGCAAGCACGACUGCAUGGUUUGUCUUCAAAGUGAAACACAGACACUGAAGGACCGCACGUGGACUGAUGUGAAAAACUAUGUGAGAAACAGAAUCACUGCCCUAAAGAGACAGACGAGCACUUAAAAAAUAUGUAUCUCUUCUGUGCCUUGCCCAUACUGUUGCCCAUACAGAGAUACAGUUCAAGGUAGGCCAAUCCAAGAGGGCAUCAUAAAGGUAAGAUGAGUAAUGUUCCAUUUUACAUCAAGCAGUUAAGGUUAAAAACAGGGUUAAAAAGCAGUUAAAAAGAACAAGGUUUAAAAGUGGUGAAAACCAAAAGAGGUUAAGAACUGGCUAAAAGAAACAAGAAGAAAAUGGCUGAACAGACUGAAGGUUUAAAUAUAGCUAAUGAGAAACAGGAUUUGAAAGUGGUUUCCAGAAACAAGGUUUGAAAGAGGUUAAAAAGAAACAAGGUUUAAAAGUGGCUAAAUAGAACAAGGUUUAAGAGUGAUUAAACAGAAACAAGGUUUUGAAGAGGAUAAAAGCAAAUGUUUAGAAGUGGUUUCAUAGAGAUAAGGUUUAAAAGAGGUAAAGCAAAAAAGGUAAAAAAGUGGUUAAACUAGGUUUGAAAAUAGUUAAAGAGAUUUAGAAGUGGUCAAACAGGUUAGGAAGUGUUUAAACAGAACAAGGUUUAAGAGUGGUUAAACAUGAACAACGUUUAAGAGUGGUUAAAAAGAGGUAAAGAAGUGUUUAAACAGGAACAAGGUUUAAGAGUGGUUAAAAUGCAAGGUUUAAAAGAGGUAAAGCAGAAGCAAGUUUAAUAGUUCUUAAGAAAUAAGUGGUUUAAUAGAAACGGAUGUUUAAAGUGGUUAAACAAUAACAAGGUUUAUCUGUGGUUAAAUGGCAACAAGGUUUCAAGAUGUUUAGGAAAUAUUUAAAUUGGUUAAAUAGAAACAAGAUUUAGAAGUAGUUGCACAGAAACAAUUUUAAAAGUGGACAAACAGAAAAUAAUUUUAUGAUUAUUAAGAAAUUCAAAGUGUUUAAACAGAAACAAGGUUUAAAAGUAUAUAAUAAAUAAUAUCGUACACAUACAUAAACAUUUCUGUAUCUAUAAUAAAGUAUAUGGUACGAGUCCUCAGACACUGGUUCAAGUUUGAGAGCUGGAGAGUCUCUCUCUCAUGUUAUAAUAUUUGUCAUUCAUGUCAAUAAAAG